AGACCGAUAGCAAACAAGUACCGUGAGGGAAGAUUGAAAAGAACUUUGAAGAGAGAGUUCAAUAGUACGUGAAACUGUGUGGUGGUAAACGGAGGGGUUCUCGAAGUCUCUGCGGGGAACUCAACCUUGGUGCGGGGCGGUCUGGGCGUGUCCGAUCAGCGAUGACGGCGCGUUCUCUCCGGCUUUGCUCUCGGGUGCAUUUCCCCCGCAGUUUACGGCAGGAACCGUUUGGCUCGGACCGAAGGCCUCGGGUGAAGUUGUCGCUUAUGGUGGCAGCCCCGGGUGUCCUGGCUCCGAGCCCGACGGGUACGCGAGAGGACUCGUAUAGCGAGCGACGCUCUGUUGCGGUUCUCAUCUCUCUGCCGAGUAGGUCGGCGGCCCCUCCGACCCGUCUUGAAACACGGAC
rnacentral:rRNA from 1 species